AGUGAACGCUGGCGGUAGGCCUAACACAUGCAAGUCGAACGGCAGCACAGGAGAGCUUGCUCUCUGGGUGGCGAGUGGCGGACGGGUGAGGAAUACAUCGGAAUCUACUCUGUCAUGGGGGAUAACGUAGGGAAACUUACGCUAAUACCGCAUACGACCUACGGGUGAAAGCAGGGGAUCUUCGGACCUUGCGCGAUUGAAUGAGCCGAUGUCGGAUUAGCUAGUUGGCGGGGUGAAGGCCCACCAAGGCGACGAUCCGUAGCUGGUCUGAGAGGAUGAUCAGCCACACUGGAACUGAGACACGGUCCAGACUCCUACGGGAGGCAGCAGUGGGGAAUAUUGGACAAUGGGCGCAAGCCUGAUCCAGCCAUACCGCGUGGGUGAAGAAGGCCUUCGGGUUGUAAAGCCCUUUUGUUGGGAAAGAAAUCCAGCUGGCUAAUACCCGGUUGGGAUGACGGUACCCAAAGAAUAAGCACCGGCUAACUUCGUGCCAGCCGCCGCCGUAA
rnacentral:rRNA from 1 species